UUGGAGAACAGUAUGCAACAGCCUCUGCAACAGUGAGGAAGAUCUUGUCUUCACCAAGAAAAUUUGCAAAGUUGGAUGUGUGGAGUUUGUCUAUCACUAAUGGACCGGGAUUCGCCAGAACAAGCUGCUCAAAAAACAGCAAUCAAAAGUCCUAUCUCAACCGAGGCAAAAACGACCCCGAAAAAUGCUCCCAUGCAAGCAACAAAGUCAAAUUUAUCAAUUUUCCAUAUCAAAAUUGCUGCCUUGUAGUCUACAAGGUUGAUGACGGCACAAAUGAUAAUUGAAGCAAGAAUGGCAUUUGGAGUGUAUUUGAAAAGAGGUGUGAUGAAUUGGAGGGUUAAGAACACAACAACAGACAUGACAAUAUUAGAGACCGCAGUUUCACAGCCAGACAUGUAAUUUACUGCUGACCGGGAGAAAGAACCUGAUAAUAGCAAGAAAAAGUAUAUCAGCAGCUACAAAAGGUGGCCACAUAACAGGAAGUCAUUGAACCAACAACAUUCAUAGCUCCUAAUGCCACCAUUUCUUUGUUUCCAUCCACCUGAUAGUCCUUCAUAGAAGCAAAUGUUCUUCCAAUUGCUAUGGCUUCCUGAUAACCAAAAUGCAACAGCUUAUCGUAACAGCAAAAGUAUAUGGUAAAAUACUCUGAAAGAAUAAAAAAUCUCAAAGUUUGCUUACAGUCAAAGCUAUCAUGCCAGCCACAAUGCCAAUUCUAACACCUUUUGCAAGGUAAUCACCGGUAAAAUAAAUUUCCUUCACAGAUGAAGGAUUGAUCCCUUUCUCUAUAUGGUUUACCUACACACAUCGAUGGACAAAAAUCUUUAAUACUUUGGAUAAACAAUCAACUAAGCGUUUAUCAUAAAAAUAAUCAUGUAUAACUUAUUUAUGUAACAAAAGGUACAGUAAAGUCAAAAUGUUUUAGUAUAAUCUAUAAGUUAUUUUAUAUGCUAUCUUGGAGUCUUUAUAGAAAUAAGUUGAAAACAGCUUAUGGACGUUCCAUAAAUUGUUUCCAUAAGCUCUUUUAUAUAUCCUUACAAUUACUUAUGCAAGUAGAUAAGCUCCAAUUAGUCAAUCCUAGCAAGUUUAUAUUAAAAAAAAAACAAAUACAACUAUUAUCUGCAAUGUUCAGGAUAAGAGAAGGGUUAUAUAUACUUACAAUCGCAACACCAUGCUUGUCUGCUCGGGUUAUGUAAACAAAAAAAGUGGAGAGUACAACAGAUACCAAUGGAGCAAUUGCCGGCACCCAGAAGUAUUUUUGGCCCUUCUUUCCCUGAUCCGCAACAUAUCAUAUUAUGAUUAAAAAACAAUUUACAAUCCCAACAUUCUGUCAAAAAAUGUAUUGUAAAAUGGAUAAGAGUGCUUACAAUAUGCUUGGCAAACAGAAGAAAACAAAGAAAGGUAGCUCCAAUUAAUAUAGUUUGCCAAUUCCACUGCAAAAUGUUAGAUAUUAAUCAGCUUAAGAGUUUUCACACACCCAGACACAGAUCUUAAAAUCCGAUUAUUGAUUUUCGUAUACAAGUAUAGAGAAAGAAAGGGAAAGCAUACUCCAUGAUGGGCUGAUGAGAAUACUGAAUGCAUCACAGAGAUUACAUCUGUUUUCCUUGUGAACUUUUCAAUCCCAAGGAAACCCUUAAGCUGCUGAAGAGCAAUUGUGAUGGCGGCUCCCCCCAUAAAACCAACAAUUGCAGCAUGUGAUAGAAAAUCAAUCAAAAAUCCUAACCU